UACGUAGGUGGCAAGCGUUGUCCGGAAUUAUUGGGCGUAAAGAGCUCGUAGGCGGUUUGUCGCGUCUGCUGUGAAAACCUAAGGCUCAACCUUGGGCUUGCAGUGGGUACGGGCAGACUAGAGUGCGGUAGGGGAGAAUGGAAUUCCUGGUGUAGCGGUGGAAUGCGCAGAUAUCAAGCGGAACACCGGUGGCGGAAGGCGGCCUUCGUGGACAGUGACUGACGCUGAGACGCGAAAGCGUGGGGAGCAAAC
rnacentral:rRNA from 1 species